UCAAGACAAUGUGAUUUUUUUCUUUUAUUUUUCUCUUUGUUUGAUAUUUCCGAAGCGUAUUACAAACAGCUAUAAAGAAGAACAUGCAAAUAUCGGGGUGGAAAACACUUCUGGAUAGAAAAAAACGCAAGCUAAUAUUUACACGCCAUUCUUUAUAGCUGUAUAUGGUAUGUUUCGAAAACAUUAUUUUAAAGAAAAAAGGGAUCAUUUCACACCCUGAAGAAAGUUUCUAAUAUUCUUAUGACGUUGGUAAUAGUAAUGUUUCUAAAAUGGACAUAGAAAUUCAGCCAUUUGCAAGUUAAUUUCACCAACAGGCUGUUCCGUUGAACAGAUCAACUGGAACACUCGUCGUCGUAACCGACGGAGUGCCACCACUGUUUUGGAAAUCAAAGAGCUGAAAACUAUGAUGGUUUAAUAAACAACAUGCGUACAGCCUUUGAAAGAAUGGGAUGCCGUUAAAAUGCACAUCUUGCAUUCUCAUCUCGAUUUUUUUCCAACGAAUCUUAGUGCGGUUCGUGAUGAGCAUGGUGUGAGGUUCCACCAUAUUCGAGAUGGAAACGAGGUAUCAAGGACGUUUCAGCCCACACAUAAUGGGUGACUCCUUCUGGUUCCUUCAACGGGAGACCAGCACGACGCAUAAGCACAAUAGCAUGUGUCUGAAACAUUUCUGGGCUGAACAUAUCAAAAAUAAACUUAUAUGACUGAAUAUUCAAUUCAUCAGCUAUUGAUUGGAGAAUACAAUGACAGUUACAAGUGAGACCCGUGAAUAUUUCACGGAAUUAAUGGUAAACCUCCUGGAUUGUUUCUGAAAUCUUUAUCAAAUAAAACUGAAAAUGUA